ACGUGGCUUAGUGGUAUCACGUCCGGCUGUAGUGCCAGAGUGCGUGGGUUCAAUCCCGG
rnacentral:tRNA from 11 species